UCCGUCGCGAUCUCGUCCCCCUCCAAGCCCCAUCACCACAUGGCAGGCCAAAAACAUCAACAAAUAUUAUUUUCGCCAUGUGAAACGGAUCGAGUGCAACGAUCUGGCCGUGAAGGUCAAGGUCACCGGGUCAUGGUGGGCAUUUAAGUGGACAUCAAGGCAAAGGAGUGAUCUGAAAUUCUAAGUCUUAUGUCUUAUUACCUUGAGCCAUCAGCGCGUGCAGCCAGUUCAAGGCCCAAGUUCAGCGGAUUGUUCAUAGUGUGUUCAUUCGUGCCUUCUCGAGACUCUUUUUCCCAUAAUAAGUUCUUGCGGGCCGCUACCGUCCUUCAAGACCAUUGGAGGUCCUGAGGCCAAGGCUGAAGACGGUGUUCCGAGCUUCAAACGUUCCCAAAACCAACCAGAAUCUUUCAUGAGUCGGUGGAGCCGCAGAAGAUUGAAGGACCAAGGCAGAAAUCAAAGGGAACGUUUUGAACAGGGUUUGAAGACAGAGAGGGAAAGCAGACCCCAUCAACCCACACCCUGCUCAAGACCAGCCAGUGCUUGACCUUCAAUAAGGAUUACUUGAAUGUCACCCGCGCAGAGCUGACGUCCGACCAAAGGAUUACUUGAAUGUCACCCGCGCAGAGCCGACGUCCUUCGACCAAAGCAGUCACUCCACUCUCCUGAGUUGCUGGGUUGAGAUUAAUUUAUAUAUGAAACUGUCACGUCUCAAAGUCUCUGGCACAAUCCGAUGAAAUUCCUGCGCUGAUUCAAACUAUACUCGCGCAUGCACAUCUCCCCAAGCGCGCACUGACGUCGGCGUGCUCUUUCUUUUUCCAACCAUCAAGUAUGGGCAAUUACGAUUUCAUUCUGCUCAAACAACGUGCGUGCAAUCCGAGACGCCCUGUUUUUUUUUUCUUUUACAUAUCAGGUCGGGGAGCGAAGAAAAAAUCCAAAUGACGAUUCCAGUUCAGAGAACAAAUUUUCAAACAUCCUUUGACAGGGAAAAAAUAAUACAGCUGAACGAUAAAUAAUGAAGGCAAAGCGCGGCGAAAUCAAACGGGGCGGCCAAAGGAAAGCUUUUGAAGCUGCUGUCAUCGCCCGCAACGCGCGGUAGCACCAUGGGUGGUUGCAUCUCUCUGCCAUGGACACACACACAUUAAAAUGCAGCGUCAUCAGAAUGAAGAACCGAGCUGCUGGAGGCCGACAGCAGCCGGUCAGAUUCCUCAAGUCCACGCCGCGGGAGCCGACACCAAGUUUGAUUUUUCUUUUAACUUUUGAUCGCAGUUUGAUUGAUUUUUGUAAUACAAAUCCCUUUUUAACCCGCAUUUAAAUAUAAUGAGGCAGUCAGUUUUGUAUGAGAAACUAAAAUGUUUUCUGCAACAAGGAAAAAGCCCGUUCUCUUCAUUUCCAUGAUCAUCAUCAUCAUCUCCUCGAGUGUCAACUUCUUCAAACAAAAAAUGUUUAUAAUUUAGCGUCAAUGUAAAUCUUACACAUUUAAAAAUAAUUACCAAAAAUUUUAAUUUUAUUGCUUAUUACAUAUUUAUACAUACCAAUCACCUUCUGAUGAUCACUGAUUUUGAAUUUUAUAUCUAGUUUCUAGAAAUUUGAAGUAUACGAACACACAUAAUUAUAUUUUUGAAUUGACUGCAGAUUGUUUUGAAAUUAGAUUAUUUAAAUUUUAAUAAGAUUGUUAGUAAAUAAAAUUUUAUUAACCACUGCAACGACACAGAACAUGUGAA